rnacentral:rRNA from 1 species
UAUUAUGGCCACAUCACCCUGCAGCCCAAGACCAUGAAGCUUAGCAGGGCGGAUCCUGGUCAGUACCUGGAUGGGUGACCACAUUGAAAACUAGGUUGCUGUUGAAA